GGUUGCGAUCAUACCAGCACUAAUGCACCGGAUCCCAUCAGAACUCCGCAGUUAAGCGUGUUUGGGCGAGAGUAGUACUAGGAUGGGUGACCCCUUGGGAAGUCCUCGUGUUUCAACCC
rnacentral:rRNA from 1 species